GACUAAUCCGUUUGUCAACGAGUUGUUGCAAGUUCCAAUUCGUAAACAUUGUGUUUAUUUUGGUGAAUCUGUCACAAUUUUAACCAUAUAAUACAUGCGGAGCCGACGGUGGAAUCUGUGUCGUUAAUUAAAUAGUGGAUUUGUUUAGAGGCGAGCGCUAACCAGAACGUAAAGAAACAGGAUGACGUUUGACGAAAAUAUGAACAAAUUUACCCACGAAGUUGAAGAGGCGUUCCAUGACGUUGAAGAGGUUUUCCGAGAUGUCAAAGAUCACAUGAUACUGUCGGUAAGAAACCAUAGCUACAUGAUAGCCUUGUUUCUUAUGAGUCUGACGUCAGCAAUUCUUGUGUUCGGGACUAUUUAUGUGUGGUGUUUUCACCGAGGACACCCGUAUCGAGAGGAUUACCAGCAUAUAGAGGAAAAAAACGAAACAGAGGCAGCUGAUGAAUCAGCUAAUGAUCAAAGGCAACAAAAGAAGAAAGCGACAAGUGCUAUUCCUAGAGCAAGCCCUGCAAGUGACGUCACUGCUAAUAAUGACGUCAGUGAUCAAGAUGGCAAAGUUCGGAAAAGAGUUCCAUCUACUUCUGGAUCUAGUAUGAACAAUAAUGACAGCCCUGUAAAGUCUAAAAUACCAGUACGAAGACAGACAAGUAAACAGUCUUGAUAUGUAUUUGAGUUUGUUAUGAGAAUUUAAUGGUCUUCCGGUUUGAUAUUCAAGUUACUGCUUACAUUUACAUGUUUAGUUUUAAGCCCUCAUUUUUUGAAGAAAAAAACCUAGGUUUUGAUAGCGUCGGUGCCAUUGUUGUAAACGUGCAAAAACCUUGACCUUGCAUGUUGCCAUAACUUUAAAACCGUUCCGGAUAUUCAAAUGAAAUAAUGUACAUUAUAUGUGCCUACAUGUAUAUAGGCGCAUAUAUCGUAAGUCCCAUCUCUCUUGUUUUAAUAAUUGUCGACUUAUUGGCCUUGUUCGACAAUAAACAACAAACAAUGGACGAGUGUUCGCUACGCGGCGCUCUUGUUUUUACAUAAUGUUGCUUUGUUUUGGCUUAAAAUAGAUUAUGUAUCAUUGCAAGAGGUAUUUAGAAAAAAAAAUGAGAUUUGCAAAUGUUGGACAAUGCUGGUAUGAUGUGUGAUAUAGACAUUCCAUUCACUGUGAUUUUCUUAUUUAGACGGUACAGUAUAACGUCACAUGUGAUCUGAACAAUUAUAUCAUUAUGCAUGGAGUUGAAUUAUACUUAUGUUUUGGGUUUUUUUUACGAAACAUUGAAGCUGCCCUUUCUUUCUCUUUGCAGAAUUUAAACAUAUCACAGUAAAUAUGAUUGAAACAACUUGGCAACAGCAAAUUCAUUCCUUUUUCUUUGAGAUAAAAUUACCUUGUCCCGAAAUAUCUCUAGUCUCUGGCAUUUUCUGUAACUGAUUAAUUGAAUGUGGUAGAUAAAAACACCAAGUGAUUUUGGUAUUGAUUGAGAAAUUGUUUGUAUGCACACAUGUUCACUUUGGUGGACUCAGUCUUUAUAGAUACAGGCCAGAGACGGAUUUAUGAUUUGGCGUUAGAUGGGGCGAUCUUUGAAAUUACGCUCGCCGGCUUUCCAAAGAAUAUGAACAAUCCACGGUUUUAAUGAGUUCAAGUUGGGGCUUUAGGUCCCUAGGAAAGAUUAAGCCAUUUUUGUCCAAGUAAACAUAAACAUUUUAAGAGGCAUUCCCCGUCUAAUCCACAAGUGUAUAUUAUUAUGGUACAACGAAAAUGUUUGUAUAAACUCUGGCAUAAGCUUUCUAAAAUAAUUGCGCUAGUUUGUAUCAUUAAAAUAAAAUGUUGAACUGUAAAACACCACCAAUGUGUGGUAAUGUAAUGUUUGUAAUUUUUACUAUCUCGAACUAAUUUAUCGAACUUUUUGAUGCCUUUUAAGUUUCACUUGCUUGAAGAAAAAAGACAUGUUUUUUACCAAGCGAAAUACGGAUUGUACUUAAACUCAAUACUGAACGGUAUUUUCUUGCUUAACAUUUUACUAGCAUGCUUGAUGAUACAAAGCCUUUGUUAUGCAUAUUUGUUUUAUUUACAUCAUUGAUCAAUUUUCAUUUGUAAAUGUUGAAUGUUCGUAUCAGUUUUGCUCAAACAAAGGAUACCUCUAAUUGUUUAAUAUUGUACAAAAAAAGAAAUAGAUGCAUUUACUUUAGUCUGGAUUAACUGCCCAAAUAGCAUGCAUUUACUUUAGUCUGGAUUAACUGCCCAAAUAGCAUGCAUUUACUUUAGUCUGGAUUAACUGCCCAAAUAGCAUGCAUUUACUUUAGUCUGGAUUAACUGCCCAAAUAGCAUGCAUUUACUUUAGUCUGGAUUAACUGCACCUAACCAUUGGUUUACAGUAAACAAGGAACCAGACAAACCUCUGCAAAUCUGUUAAUAUUUUUGUCAUUGUGGUAAACUACAUACAGAUCUGAAUGUAGGUUGAAAUCUCAGAAAUAUUCUUUAACACCCAACAAUUUGGUGUUAUUUUUAGCAAUUAUCUGUCCAGAAUUUGUUAAUUGAUAGCAAUAAAAUGAAUGACUUACUUUGUACCAUUAAACAUAUCAAUUAGCUGGACUGUGUUUCCAAAGAGUCAAGGGUCGUAGCCAUGGUGUCGUCGGCGUGAGUUAUGGUCGGUCGGCGUGAGUUAUGGUCGGUCGGCGUGAGUUAUGGUCGGUCGGCGUGAGUUAUGGUCGUUGUAAGUGAGCUGCAAAAACUUGGCCGUUAAACAAUUGCAAUGACUUUCAAAAUAUGUGCUUGUUUGAGAAAACCGGGUAGGCGUUGGCACUUUUUGCUUAGUUUUAUGUAAGUAACACAUCACUAACUAACUCGUUAUGAAUCUUUGUUUAUGUAUAAAUGUGAUCUCGUUAUGUUUUUGAUUGGUUUUUAUUCAGGUUGAAACACACUCCAUAUAUACACCUUGCAACACAUAGUAGAGUAUAUGUUAGCAUUGUUUUGCUUUAAAGAAUACAUCACAGGAUCAUAUCCCAACAUGCUAAGACAGGAUAGUUAAUUGGCUACACAAUAAUUAAUGUAUCAUGGGACUAAGAACUUAGAAACUAUAGUUGGUGAAUUGACUAAAGUGAGGUUAAGUGUGAAAUGACCUGGGAAAGCCGAUGAAAUCCCUGGGGCUUUCCAAGCAUCAUUUAUGUGUCUAUCAACCUGAACCACGUCUUCCAUAUUUGUUGUGUUCAAUUUAUUUAUUGUUAGCUUUUACUUGUUAUAUAGGUUAACUUGUUUAUUCAUAUAUUCUGAGGAAUGUGUUUUAUUAUAUUAAUGGACCUUGUGAAUUAUAAAAAAAAAAUGUUUGAAUAAAUAAUAAAUGUACACAAUGCUUAGAGGUUUCACCCGCGCCCAUCAUUGGAAGCCCUUUAACUGGAAAAAAGUAUUUUCUGGGUUUCUUAAUAAACUUAUCAUAAUCAUUCAAAUCCAUUACAUUUAUUUCAUUAAUACGGAGACUGGUUAUGUCCAUUUCCUGCAAUUUUUAUUACCUCUUUUGGUAUGAUUUUUACAAAAAUAUUAAUUUAUUGAAAUAUUCAUAUAAUCGAACUAGGGUAGUCACAUGCAUCUCAGCAUUUACUUAGAUUAAUGUGUUGGAGUUUAUGUACAACUUAUAUCACAGAUUUUAUAGUAUUACAGCAAUGUUCACCAAUUGGUAUUUUGACAAUAUUUGGCCGGUGUUUUAAAAGAGCCUCCUCUCACAGCUCUCUCAACAUAUUGAUCAUGAUUUAUUAUACAUUUUAAUACGCAAAAAACAUUGAUUUUGAUUUUAAAUGAAUUUGAAUGGAUUGAUGGUAACAUGCUUCUGUAUAUUUGAAAGAAUACUUUUAUAAUGUGCGCAUGUGUUUUGUAUGCACGUUUGAGAUUAUACUCUUCUUACAAUUAUCAUAAUUGAUUGAAUGUGUGCUAUGUUAUCAUAAUCAGUUAACUGUUAAGUUUAUCCGAAAACCCAUUCUAAAUGCUUGUGUCUCGUAACAAUAUAUUAUUUUCCUAUAUAUUUGUAAUAAAUCAUAAAAUCAA